rnacentral:rRNA from 1 species
CUCAGAUUAAACGCUGGCGGCAGGCCUAACACAUGCAAGUCGAGCGGUAGCACAAGAGAGCUUGCUCUCUGGGUGACGAGCGGCGGACGGGUGAGUAAUGUUUGGGAAACUGCCUGAUGGUGGGGGAUAACUAGUGGAAACGGUAGCUAAUACCGCAUAAUGUCGCAAGACCAAAGUGGGGGACCUUCGGGCCUCACGCCAUCAGAUGUGCCCAGAUGGGAUUAGCUGUUAGGUGGGGUAAUGGCUCACCUAGGCGACGAUCCCUAGCUGGUCUGAGAGGAUGACCAGCCACACUGGAACUGAGACACGGUCCAGACUCCUACGGGAGGCAGCAGUGGGGAAUAUUGCACAAUGGGCGCAAGCCUGAUGCAGCCAUGCCGCGUGUGUGAAGAAGGCCUUCGGGUUGUAAAGCACUUUCAGCGAGGAGGAAGGGUAAUGUGUUA